rnacentral:misc_RNA from 1 species
GAUGAAGAACGUAGCGAAAUGCGAUAAGUAAUGUGAAUUGCAGAAUUCAGUGAAUCAUCGAAUCUUUGAACGCAUCUUGCGCUCCUUGGUAUUCUGAGGAGCAUGCCUGUUUGAGUGUCAUUAAAUUCUCAACUACACUGACUUUGAAUUGGUGUGGCUUGGAUUUGGGUGGGAAAAUUGUUGUGGGCUUUUUGUAUAGUCUGCUCCCCUGAAAUUGAUUAGCGGUACCUUUGUGGAACUGUCUACAGGUGUGAUAAUUAUCUACAUCCUAGACAUCUGCUGGAAUGCUGCUUUCUAAACCUUACUUGUAUUGACAAUCUUGACCUCAAAUCAGGUAGGACUACCCGCUGAACUUAAGCAUUCAAUAAGCGGAGGA